GAUGAACGCUGGCGGUGUGCCUAAUACAUGCAAGUCGAGCGAACGGACGAGAAGCUUGCUUCUCUGAUGUUAGCGGCGGACGGGUGAGUAACACGUGGAUAACCUACCUAUAAGACUGGGAUAACUUCGGGAAACCGGAGCUAAUACAGGAUAAUAUUUUGAACAGCAUGGUUCAAAAGUGAAAGACGGUCUUGCUGUCACUUAUAGAUGGAACCGCGCUGCAUUAGCUAGGUGGUAAGGUAACGGCUUACCAAGGCAACGAUGCAAAGCCGACCUGAGAGGGAGAACGGCCACACUGGAACUGAGACACGGUCCAGACUCCUACGGGAGGCAGCAGUAGGGAAUCUUCCGCAAUGGGCGAAAGCCUGACGGAGCAACGCCGCGUGAGUGAUGAAGGUCUUCGGAUCGUAAAACUCUGUUAUUGGGGAAGAACAUAUGUGUAAGUAACUGUGCACAUCUUGACGGUACCUAAUCAGAAAGCCACGGCUAACUACGUG
rnacentral:rRNA from 1 species